GAAAUGCGAUAAGUAGUGUGAAUUGCAGAAUUCAGUGAAUCAUCGAAUCUUUGAACGCACAUUGCGCCCCUUGGUAUUCCAUGGGGCAUGCCUGUUCGAGCGUCAUUUGUACCCUCAAGCUCUGCUUGGUGUUGGGUGUUUGUCCCGUCUCCGCGCGUGGACUCGCCCCAUAGUGAUUGGCAGCCGGCGUACUGGUCCCGGAGCGCAGCACAUGUCGCGCAAACGAGUGCCUUGGUACGGCGGCGUCCAUAAGCCCCUCUCUCACGCUCUUGACCUCGGAUCAGGUAGGGAUACCCGCUGAACUUAAGC
rnacentral:misc_RNA from 1 species